GCUGAUCUUGUAAGGGAUGUUGACACCGCACUUGCCUGGGAGUCCGCUUGCAAUACCAUAGUUGAUGCCAGAAAUGCCGGCGGCCGCACUUUUGAUGCAUUUGCAAGCUGCUUGCCGGUCUGGUGUUGUUUGGGCGGCGGAGUUGAGAGAUUUUAUGCCGCCGCAGCAACCUGGGGGAACGCCACCAGCACCAUUCCCUGUCAAGUAACCAAUGCAGGGUGCGAGGGAGCUUGUGACUUGACCACAGGUUACGGCCCCUUGAGCCAGGGGUGCACCCACCACCAUGCACAACACCGCCACACAUGCAAGCUUAAGGGACAUUGAGCUAGCCAUAUCGAUUAAUCACAAGAAAAACAAACUUGUAAGGAAAAUGCUUGCUUGGAGUAGUAGUACUAUUGCUGAUUGUCGUGGUUAGGGCUUGAGGGUAGGAGGGUUUUUAUAGCCAAAAGUAGUAGCGGGUGAUGUCUGAAUUUUACUUUCCUAGCUAUUAGGUAAGUUGAGAUUAUCCGAUCCAAACAUUAACACACCACAUUAAAAGUUGAGACCAUUCAAUUAGGUUCAACUGCCAACCUACGUGAUUAUUGUUUUCUUUCAAUACAAUUAAAACCAGCGUCCAUUUGAUUUCACUCAAUCAUGCCUCCACAGCUAGGACUCAAAUAUUGGUUUAACUUUUUUCUAGGUGUUUUCUUAUAAACAUGAGAUUUACAUUUGAUGUAUUUAUAAAUGCAUUUAUUGUCAGAAUGAUACCAUUUUAUUAAAAGUAAUUUGAUUUAUAAUUGUUUGUAUAUAUACUUUUAUAUAUUAAGUCUUUAAUUGAAUUGGUAUUACGAUUCACCCAAGCAUCUAUUUAAUUGAAAAUUUGUUAAAAUAUUCAUAUAACAAAUAUUAAUAUUAAUAUAAAUGUAUUUUUAUUUUUAUUAUAAAUAAAACUAUAAUAAGAUUUAAACUUAUGACUCAUAAAUUUUACUCUUUUUAACUUAACUAUUUCAACUAAAAUUUCAUUUAGUUUUAAUAUAAAUUUUUAUAAAUAUAUUAUUUACAUGAAUUUUCCUUUUCCAGGCGGUAUGCCAUGGAACUAAUAUAAAAUAUAAACAAAUGGUUAUUUUGUUAUUUUCAAUGGAAAAAAAAAACUUCACAAGAUUAGGACACAUGCAUGGUUUUUUUAAUAUAUAUAUAUAUAUAUCAUGCAACAUUCUAAAUCUAUUUAUAGAUUAUUUUGUUGAUUGAAUUUUUAUUUUUUUUUAUUUUGGUAAUUAUAUAAAACUAAAUAUUUUCUUCGCGCAAUGUUAAGAGCAGUUUGAAAUUUAAAAGAAGUGUGGAUUCUAAUAAUAAAUUUAGUUAUCUAAUGUUUACAUAUUUUAUUAAUUUGGUCUUAAAUAUAAAAAUUAAAUUCAACAAAAUUAGCCCUCAAUGUUUACAAAAUUUUUCAUUUUAAUUCAAAUUCUAAAAUAAUCCAAUAAAUUUAGCUCUCAACAUUUACAAAAUGAAAGGAUUUGAUUUUUAAAAUUUUAAUUUUUUUUUUUAAAAACCCAAAACACAAACCUAAAUAAACUGAAAAAGAAGAAGGAAUAAUUAUCAUCACCACGAUCUAAUCUCUCAACUUUAAAAUAAGACUUCAACUUCGGUUUAACCCCAAGACAAGGCGAAACAUUGAAAGUAAGUGCAGCGGAUGCCAUUGAUUCUCCUACCUUUUGGCUAAACACAUAAAUUUGAACAACUUCAUACAUAACUAGCAGCAGUACUAAAAAAUCAUUAAUACUAUAUUUUCAAGUACAAGAAAUUGAAAAAAGAAUCACGGGUAGAGUACAAAAAUGAAAUUUGGUGUGAACCUAGAUUAACAAAACAAGGUUCACGGUUUCUCAAAAACACAAUACUAAAUUUUUAGAAUUUCUUGUGAAGAUCAAGCAAUGAGACAAAUACUGAAAUUGGCAAUGCCUUAAUAGCAAAUAAUAAUUCAAACCAAUGUAGAAAAAAGAUGAAGAAGAAGAAGAUAGGAAAAGAAUUUUUAGUUUACAUUAAAAGCCUUGAAAAGGUAGACCGAUAGGAUUGAUUGUUUUGAAUAUUACUCAACUUUCUCAUUAAUUCUUGUACUAUUAUGGCUAAGUGUGUUUUUAGAUGGUAAUGAAUUUUUUUAAUUGUUAAUAAUUUUUACAAUUAUUACACUUGAUUUGGCAGUUGUUUUUCUUUUUAAUUUACAAAAUUUUAAAAAAUUAAAAAUUUCUAUUUUGUAAAUGCUAAGAGCUAAAUUUAUUAUUAUUUAUUUUAGAAUCUAAACUAAAGUGACAAAUUUUGUAAAUAUUUGGUGUUAAAUUUAUUGGAUUUUUAUAUUUAAAAUCAAAUUGAUAGAAUGUGUAAAGAAAGUUAAUUUUUUUAUUAGACAAAUAAAAAAUAACCCAUUUCAACACUUCCGAAAAAUUUUCAAACGGCCGUUAACAUUUAGUGAUGAAAAUAUUUGAUUUCAUAUAGUUUAAUAAUUAAAAUAAAAAUAAUUAAAAAUUUAGUAAUCAAAGUAAAACACAAGUGAUAUUAUUCUAGUGAUCAUUUCUGUACUUGACCCUAAUUUUUUUUUCAAAACACUGUUAAAAAACGAUUAAUUUCUCGUUUUGGCCGGAGUUAAAAUUUUUAAUAUAUUUGUUUUUAUUAAAUUUAAAAAUUAUAAUUUUACAUAAUAUAUUUUUGAUAGAAUACAUAUGAUAUAAUUUUAAUCAGUGACACCUGUUAAAGCUUGUUAGAUCUCCUGUAUCUCUUUCAAUCUGGUGGUAAAUGAAGCAAUCAAUGAGUAUUACAACCAGCCACAUGUCAUUCAAUUCACAUUAUAUCAAUCUUUUCCCUUUUCUCUCAUUUUGGUAGUUAAUUCCUUUUUUUGUCAUCGAAAUUAUAUUUUUUUCUCAAAUUGAUAAUUUCCUUAAUCCGUUAAGUUUGUUAAAAGAAACCUUAAUCUUAUUUAAAUUAUAUCUUUUUUUUUUUAUUUUGAUACUUAAACAUUUUUGUCACAUGUGGUAUGUAAUUUAUUUUUUCUUAAGUUGUUAGUUUAAUUAUUACUCAAAUAGUUAAGUCUAUUUAAAAAAAGAUAACUAUUUAAAAAUUACCAUAUUCGAACUAGCUAGGCCAUUAGUUCCUGGUUUAAUCAGUUUAUCUAGUUUGAUGAAAUCAAUUAUUAAAAAUUCAUAAAAAUAAAAAUGUUAAAAAAUAGAGAAAACUAGCUCAACUAGUUUUUUUUUUAAGCUCGACUCAAUCAAUCUGUAUCAGUUUGUAGGUUAAUCGGUUCAAGCCCUAUCUCCAAACUAGUAUCCCAGUUGGUUCCUAGUAUUAAGGGUGAGCAAAAUUUGAAUCGACUCGAAAAAAUUUAAAAAAGUUCAAAUUUUGAAUUAUUUGAAUCGAGUUAAUCGAAUCAACUCGAUUUUUUUUUAAUUUCAAGUUCGAGUCGAGUUGAGUUUUUGAAUUCAAAUGACUCGAAUAAUUCGAUUAAGCCGAAUACCAAACUAUAAUAUUUUACAUUUUACCUCAAACCCCAAACCCUUUUACUUUUCCCCCAAAACUUUACUCAUUCCUCCUUGUCUGCCCCUGUAACGCCCCAAAUUUUGAAUUGUUACUGUUAGUUUCUAUUUAUAAGUAAGUAUUUGCUUCAGUGGUUAAGUGUUAUGUGUUGGUGUUUGGAUCGGGGGUUCAAGUUACACUUUUAGAGAAUUUUAUUAUUCUUUUGUUUCAACUCUUAUCCUUGAAUGCUUGAAUUAAGUUUGUAUCUGCAUUAAUUUGUGUCAAGAAUGAGUCUUCUAGUUUAAUGGUUAAGUUUUGUAUUACCUAUGGUCUCGUGUUCGAGUCUCUGCGUAGGCAAUAAAGAAAUAUUUUGGCAUGCUAUCGGGAAAUCAGUUUUAUUUUAAUAAUUAUUUUUAUUUAAAACUUAUUUUUAGUUUUUUUUAUUUUGGUUCUUCUCCUUCCUUACUGUUCAUUUCCUUCUUCUUUUUUCUCCUUUUGUAACACCCCUAACUCGAAUCCGUCGCUGGAACAGGGUUAGGAGUAUUAUUGAAGUUUACAAUUUAAACAGGCAGAAAAAUUAAACAUUUCAUAACAUAUAGCAUUCAUGUUAGAAACCAAUCAUAAUUAUGCAUAUUGUCCCUAAUACGAGCCCUCGAGGCCCAAAAUACACCUUAGAAAUAAUUCGGGACUAAAUUGAAAAUUCGGAGCAUUUUUUAGAAACUUAUAAAAUUUUUAAAACUACAGGGGUCACAUGGCCGUGUGGCUAGGUUGUGUGACUCAUAUGGCCAACAGACACGCCCAUGUCUUAGACCGUGCGGGUAUUCGAAAUAGGGACACACGGUCGUGUCCCAGCCAGUGUCCAUGCCCGUGUAACUCACUAACUUGGGCCACACGGUCAAGCCAUACGCCCGUGUGCCAGGCAUUGUGAGCAUACUAACUUGCAUUCUUUAAAAGAUACAGGGGACACACGGCCAUGUCACCUGACCGUGUGUGACACACGCCCGUGUCUCUGCCCGUGUGGACAAAAAUAGGCUAUUUUUCAAGUCAUAAAUAUUCAUGUAUUCUUUAAAAGAUACAGGGGACACACGCCCGUGUCUCUGCCCGUGUCUCUGCCCAAUUUGGUACCAACCUAAACACAACAAUUUGCAUAUAACCAAGUCAUAAAUAGGCAUCCAAAACCAGCCAAAAUCAAGCUUAAAACAUGUAAUAUCAUCACAUACAACCAAUAUGCCCUUAGGCACCUCAAAUGACAACUUAUAAUAUUAAUAUUCAUGUAUUCAAUAUAGCCAAAUGUAUAACUCACUUAUAUGCAUAUUUUCAUCCAAAGUUUAUUAAGCAAAUUUACAUCAUUUCUUACCAAAUUACUUACCUUCCAAAACAUAUUAUUUGGUGCUAAAAUGUAUUUAACAUACUAACAUAUUUAACUUAUAUGCCUUACAUAUCCAGACACCAAUUCAUGAUCAAUUCUUCACAUUCCAAAACACAUAUAUGAAAUGCACAUUAGGUUACCUUUUUACCACUCUUUAUUCAAUCAUGAACCAAACUACAUGUCAACCAUAAUAAGCAAAAUAUGCACAUAUCCAAAAUUCCAUAACACAAACAAAACAAAUGGCUAAUCUCAACAAAACACAUAUAAGCCAACAUUGGCCAAACUAAUCUAUACAUGCCAUUAUAACCGAAAUUAAACAACCGAAUGUACCAAAAGAGCCAAUGGAUAGUGUGAUAUAGCUCCGACAAGCUUUCAACCAGAACGAGCUUUCGAAUCACUAAAAACACAGAAAAUAACACAGAGUAAGCAUUCAAGCUUAGUAAGUUCAUAUAGCAUAUAAUUUAACUUACCAUUUAGUCACAUUUAAGGUAAGCAUACAAAACAUAUCCAAACUCAAUUAGGAUAAAAGCCUCAACACAUAUCCUCAUCAACCAUGUUAGUCAUGUAAUUCAUAUAAAUAUCAAGAAACAUGUAUGAGCUCAACAAUAAUCAAACUUGCAUGUACAUAUAAUUUCCACAUCAUGUAUUUACAUAUCAUGUACAAAUCAUUUUCAUAUAUCUCAUGUAAAUACAUGUAGUAGUUUGUAUUGAACUCAUGUAAUAUCAUAACAGAACAGUGCCCGUUGAACCAUUUAGAUUAUUGUUGGAUACGCGGAUAGUACACAUGAGGUGUACUGAACUGUAAUUCAUCAAUUCAUGUACAUGUAUGCUCAUAUGAGCUAUAAACAGUAAGCUCCUCUGAGAUGAAUAACAAUAAGCUUGUACGAGCUGAAUAUCGGUAAGCUCAUAUGAGCUGAGUAUCGGUAAGCUCAUAAGAGCUGAAAUCGAUAACCCUAAUGACAUGUUUACCAAGCCAUGACAUUCCACUAACACAUUUAACCUUUAAAAUUAUUUCAAUUUACAAGUUUAAGAAAGAACAUAAAAGAUGAUACUUGGCUUUAUUUUACUAAAUUUUGUUAUUUACUUAAUUACUUAUUUAACCUUUAAAAUCAUUUCAAUUUACAAGUUUACUAAGCCAUGACAUUCCACUAACACAUUUAAGGGUUAUUUACCAUAUAAGGACCUCUACUUUAAAUUUUUAUAGCUAUUUAAUACCUUUAGCUAUUAGAACUUUACUUUUACACUUUACGCGAUUUAGUCAUUUUUAUCAAAUUGAACAUGUAAACGGUAAAAUUUCUUAACGAAAUUUUCAUAUGGUAAUAUUAUCAUGUUUUCGACCAUAAAAUAAUAAUAAAAUAAAAUUUUUUACUUCAUAUUUGUGGUCCCAAAACUACUAUUCUGAUUUCACUGAAAAUGGGUUGUUACACCUUUCUUGCUUGAUUGCUUCCGUAAGUUUGCUAUCGUGCUUAAUUGGGCAUUCUGUGUGGUUUCUUACAUUGAUUGCAAGGAUAUUGCGUAAGUUAUGUUGUUGUUUUUUACCUAUUUUUUCUAGACUUCGUCUGUUUCGUCGAGGUUAGAUAUUACUGUUAAUGGUUGUAAAAUCUCGUUAAUAGUUCCAAUGGAUCUUCUUUUAGGAAAAGGUUUCAAAAGUAACAUUUCCCUGUGAGAUUAGGUCCGAAUUGUUGUUGCUUGCUUGUCAGUAAUUGAAAAUUUCUAUUUUGGAUAGCUGCGUCGAAGUUUUCGACGAACGUUAGUUUUGAGUGCUAAUUUUGGCAUUUUGAGUUGAUUUAGUCAUUUAAUUCGUCAAUUAAUUGUCGUUUUAGGUUUCAGAUUCUUGUGUGUUGCUUCUACAUCGAAACUACAUCAAGUGUGUAACGAAAACUCAUUUUUCUAUGAUUUACGAAUGCUAGAAAACAUGGCUGUUAAUCACACGACCGUGUGUUAGGCCAUGUAACUUACUGUUUAUGUAUUAAAGUCACCGAGCCAAGGACGUGGGCGUGUGUCCUAGUCGUGUAACUUACUAUUUGUGGAUUGGAGUCACACAGGCUAGGGACACGUUUGUGUGUCCAGACUGUGUGAAGGAAAUUUUAUGAAUUGAGUCACACAAGCGUGUGCUUGACUAUGUCAUAGACCGUGUAACUCACUUUUUUGAGCCACACGAUCGUGUGCCAGGCCGUGUGAUAGAUCGUGUGCUACACGGGCCAGCCUUCCGGGACAUGUGAAUCCACACAAGUGUGUGGGUCAAAAUUUCAAAUUUUUUAUUAGGGCCGUAAACAUCAUUCCAGUCAAACGUAGGCCUACUGUAGGGUCUGGAUGAUCUGAUUUGGGUUAUAAAACCCAUUGACUAGUUAUCUGUUUCUGUAUAAACUGUUAUUUUAUAUACAUCAUAGAAUUGUAAACUAGAGAGUAGUUGUAUUCUGUAUUAAUUGAGUAUAACCUGAAAUUUGUAACAUCGUAUGCUUAUAUCUGUAUCUGUAACAUUGCAUCUGCAUUGGGGUUGGGAUUGAAUAAGGAGGAAGUUAUGGCAGUUAAAUAAUCUGCUAAGACUGGUGGCUAAGACACGUAAAUGUAUCUAAUUUUGGUGACUUUCGCAUUCUGUCCUAGCAAUUAGUCUGCAACCUUUUGAACGUGACAUAUGGUCACUAUGUGGUGUGUAGGGACGAUACCCUUUUUGGUGUGUAGGGUUGGAUGCAGAUGGUGUGUAAUUGACAUAUUCUACUCUAUUUCCGUAUAUAAUUCUGAGAACUGUUCUAACUUUAAGAAAUUGAAGAUCUAUUUUGUUGUUUCACUUAAUAAUAAUAUAAGUUAUACGCUAUGUAUAACACCCUUUACCCGAGACCGUGGUCGGAGUCGAGCAUGAGGUGUUACUUGACUUAACUUAAAAGUUCAGGGCAUAAAAAUUUACUUUCAAAAUUAAUUUCACCAUUCACAAUAAAGUUGUCCACCUGAGCAGCAGUCACUAAAUUAAUUAUAACUCAAGCUAAGAAACUCGAAAUUUAGAUUCGUAAAUUUUCCCUGAAACUAGACUCAUAUAUCUAUUCACAAAAAUUUUUCAGAAUUUUUUAUUUGACCAAUUAGUACAGUUUAUUAGUUGAAGUCUCCCCAGUUUCACUAAUCGACUAUCCUGACCUCUCGUCACUAAAAUUCAAUUAUCUCAUUAUACAGACUUGACAUGCUGAUUCCACUUAUUUAUACUUAAAAUAUACUCAUUAAGGAAUUUAAAAAUAUAAUUUAUAACUCAUAAUUCUAUUUGUACAAUUUUUAAUGAAUUUCUAAAGUCAGAACAGGGGACUUCAGAAUCAUUCUGACUCUGUCUCACUAAAAUUAAAAUAUCUAAAAGUAUAUAACUCUUUUGCUUACUCUAUUGCUUUCAUGUGAAAGUAGACUCAUUCAGAUUUAAUUUCAUCUCUCGCUAAACAUAUAAUUCUAUUUCUACAAUUUUUGGUAAUUUUUCAAAGUUACAUCAAUGCUGCUGCCCAAAAAUAGUUCCAUUGAAAUUUUUAAAAAAAAAUUCAAUAUAACCCCUUUAUAAUUAUCUAACCUUCCCUGCAAAUUUCAAAUCACAACCAAUUUCAGUAUUUCAACUACUUCACUUAAAUACUAAUGAAGUUCAACUAAUCAACCAUUUCAAACUAAAAACAUGUAUAGUUCAAUGUUUAACACAACCAUCACAUUCAAAUUUAUUCAUUCUAUUACUUUUUACUUCAAUUCCCUAUACAUGUCAUAUAAAUCCAAAAAGUUGUUUAACAAAAUCUACAGGAGUAAAUCUGGAUAGUGUGAUUCUUGGUGUAGAUCUGAUCCUCCGAAUGUAUAAAUACGUCAAUCUACAAGAAUCAAUAAACACACAAUUAAGCGUAUAGAAAGCUUAGUAAGUUCAUAGGCACCAAACAUAAAUCUUACCAAACAUUUAUACACUUAUACAUUAUACACCAUUACUAAGUUUACCUGUCAACCACAAUCUUUGGUGAGUUCCUUGGUAUAAACUCACUACUACUUAUUCUUUUACCAUAAUUCCUUUGGGCCCAUUUGUCACUUACCAUCCUUGAUCAAAAUUAAGGAACGGUUACGGAAAAUUGAGUACUUCACUUUCACUUUGCCAUAGUAUAACUAUGGUCUUACGUAUGAUCAAACAUCACUUGUCCUUGAUAAGAUAAGUGUAGCUAGGCAACCACUUAUCACUUUGUCACUUGAUCAGAUAAGUGCAGCUAAAGCUACCAUUUAUCACUUUAUCACCACUUAUCACUUGUUCUUGAUUAGAUAAGUGUAGCUAAAGUUACCACUUAUCACUUUGUCACCACUUAUCACUUGUUCCUAAUCAGAUAAGUGUAGCUAAAACUACCACUUAUCACUUUGUCACUUGAUCAGAUAAGUGUAGCUAAGCUAUCACUUAUCACUUUGUCACUUGAUCAGAAGUACUCAAAUCCGGUGUUCUGCUCAAUUUGAUCAUUUAUUCAGUUUUCACAUUUUUAUUUUAUUCUCAUUUCAUCAAUAAAUAUAUAUAUUUCAUCAUACAUUAUAUAAUUCAUGAAAUUAACAUUUAAUCAUUAAAUUUUAGCCAUAUGAACUUACCUGGGUUGAUUUGCUGAAUUUGUAAAAGUUUAGGGACUAAUCAGCUACUUUUUUUUUCCUCGACUUGUUUCGGGUUCUCAAUAUGAUUCAAAUAUAUGAAAAACCAACUUGGAGGGACUCUUCAAUGGUGUUUUUUGCUAAAAAAUAUGAGGAAUUGCCUAGAAACACUUUUAGUUAAGAUUUUUAUUUGUUAUUUUUUACAAAAUUUCCAAUUUUGCCCUUAUUACAUCACUUUUUCAAAUUUUUCUUCUCUUAUGUCGUCUCAACUAUUCCAUAUUGGCAUAUUUAUGCCUUAAGUCCCUCCUUAUUUACCACUUAAGCUAUUUAAUCACUUUUAACAAAUUUUACAUUAUUUUCAGUUUAAUCCUUUUUAAUUAAUUAACCACCCAAACGUUAGAAUUUUCUAACGAAAAUUUAAUACCAACUCAAUGACACUCCAUAAAUGUUUCUAAAAAUAUUUAUGGCUCGAUUUAUGAGGUUGAGGUUUCAAUACCUCAUUUUCGAUUCUAAUUAUUUUAAUAUUUAUUCUUAGUACAUUAUUCACUAUUUCAAAAAUUUUCCUAACUUCGCAUUUAACUUAUACUCACUAAAUUAAUAAUAUUUUCUACUCAUUUGUCAAAUUUAAUGAUCUCGAAUUACCAUUCCGACACCACUGAAAAUUCAGGCCAUUACAACUCUCCCCCCAUUUUGGAAAUUUCAUCACCGAAAUUUCGUACCUGAAAAUAAAUUCGGAUACUGAAAUCUCAGCAAUUCCUCUGUUUCCCAGGUUGCCUCCUCAGAUCCAUGUCGAUUCCAUAACACCUUAACUAGUGGUACAUGUUUAUUCCUCAACUCUUUAACCUUCUGAGCUAAAAUUUUCACCGGUUCCUCUGAAUAAGUCAUGUCAGGUUGAAGCUCUAUUUCCGUAUGAGGAAUUACAUGUGAUGGAUCUGAUCUGUACCGUCUCAACAUAGACACAUGAAACACAUUAUGAAUCUUUUCAAGUUCCGGGGGCAAAGCUAAUCUAUAGGUUACCGGACCGAUUCUUUCAAUGAUUUCAUACGGCCCGAUAAAUCGUGGGCUGAGUUUCCCCUUUUUGCUGAACCGCAAAACUUUCUUCCACGGUGACACUUUCAAAAAUACACGAUCACCCACAUUAAACUCUAUAUCCCUUCUCUUCAAAUUUGCAUAUGAUUUUUGCCGAUCGGAGGUAGCUUUUAAACAAUCUCGAAUAAUACGAACUUUUUCUUCAGUUUCCUGAGUCAAUUCCACUCCCACUAGUUUCGAUUCACUUAAUUCAGACCAAUAUAAUGGAGUUCUACACUUUCUUCCAUACAAAGCUUCAAACGGUGCCAUUUUAAUGCUAGUUUGAUAACUAUUAUUAUAAGCAAAUUCGGCUAAAGGUAAAUACCUUUCCCAGCUACCGCCGAACUCAAGUAUACAACACCUUAACAUAUCUUCUAAAAUCUGAAUCACUCGCUCUGACUGCCCAUCUGUCUAGGGAUGAAAAGCUGUGUUGAAAUUUAAUUUGGUGCCUAAAGCUUCCUGUAAUUUACUCUAAAAUCUCGAGGUAAAUCUCGGAUCUUGAUCUGAAAUAAUAGAUGUCGGUACCCCAUGUAACCUCACUAUCUCAGACACAUAUAACUCCGCUAACUUUUCAAGCUGAUAAUCUGCUCUGACUGGAAUAAAAUGUGCUGACUUAGUUAACCGAUCAACAAUCACCCAUAUUGAAUGUUUCUUCUUCAGAGUUACUAGUAAUCCAGAUACAAAAUCCAUCGUAACAUGUUCCCAUUUCCAAUCUGGAAUCAUAAUGGGCUGUAACAACCCUGUCGGCACUUGAUGCUCAGCUUUCACCUGUUGACAGAUCAAACAUCUUGCUACAUACUCAAAGAUUUCCCGUUUCAUUCCGGGCCACCAAUACAUUUUCUUCAAAUCACAAUACAUUUUUGUACUACCCGGGUAAAUAGAACACAUACUACUGUGAGCCUCUGAUAAAAUAUCAUUUUUCAAGUUUAAAUUAUUCGGAAUACAUAUUCUAUUACGAUAAUAUAACAUACCAUUUUCAUCAAUGGAGUAUUCUGAGCUUAACUUAUCUUGAACCAUCUGUCGCUUUAUCAUCAAUUUUGGGUCAUCAUCCUAUAACUCCCGAAUCCGUUGAAAGAACACGGGUUUAGCCUUUAAUUCUGCUAGUACAGAACCAUCCUCAUUAAUAGAUAAAUGAGCAUUCAAUGCCCGUAGUGCAAAUAAUGAUGAUUUCCGACUAAGCGCAUCUGCUGCGGCAUUUGCUUUCCCUGGGUGAUAGUCAAUGACAAGAUCAUAAUCUUUCAGCAACCCCAACCAUCGUCUCUGUGUCAAAUUUAACUCUUUCUGAGUCAUUAAAUACUUCAAGCUUUUAUGAUCAGUAUACACGUAACAUUUCUCACCAUAUAAGUACUCUCCAUAUCUUCAAAGCAAACACGAUCGCUGCCAAUUCCAAAUCAUGUGUAGGAUAAUUCUUGUCGUGCGGUUUCAGUUGCCAAGAAGCAUAUGCCACCACUUUGCCUGACUGAAUAAGUACACAGCCCAACCCAUUUACAGAUGCAUCACUAUAUACUACAAACGGUACACCCGAUUCUGGUUGAGUCAACACUGGAGCCUCUGUCAACAUCUUUUUCAACUGAUCGAAACUCCGCUGACAUUCAUCUAACCAUAUAAAUUCAACAUUCUUUUGUAGCAAUCGAGUUAACGGUAAGGUAAUCAUUGAGAAAUCUUUGACAAAUCGACGAUAAUAACCUGCCAAUCGUAGAAAACUCUGCACUUCAGUCACAUUCUUCGGAACUUUCCAAUUUAUCACUGCCGCUACCUUACUUGGAUCCACUCUUAUUCCAUCAGCUGAUACAAUAUGACCCAAAAAUGCAACUUCAUGGAGCCAAAAUUCACAUUUGCUGAAUUUGGCAUACAAUUGUUUCUCCCACAAAGUCUGUAAUACAAUCAUUAGAUGUUGUGCAUGUUCGGACUCUGUCUUUGAAUAAAUCAAUAUAUCGUCAAUGAACACAACCACAAAUCUAUCCAAAUAUGACUGAAAAAUUCUAUUCAUCAAAUCCAUAAAAGCAGCAGGGGCAUUGGUUAAACCAAAUGGCAUCACCAAAAAUUCAAAAUGACCAUAUCGAGUUCGAAAGGCAGUUUUCGGCACUUCACACUCUUUAACUUUCAACUGAUAAUACUCGGAUCGAAGAUCUAUCAUGGAAAAUACUGUAGCACCUUUCAACUGAUCAAACAAAUCAUCAAUAUGAGGCAAAGGAUUUUUAUUCUUUACUGUUACCUUAUUCAACUGUCUGUAAUCUAUACACAGUCUUAAAAAACCGUCCUUCAUUUUCACAAACAAGACAGGUGUACCCCAGGGCGACAUACUCGGUCUGAUGAACCCUUUAUCUAAUAACUCCUGCAGCUGCGCCUUCCGUUCUUUUAACUCGACUGGAGCCAUUCUGUAUGGUGUCAUUGAGAUAGGAGUUGUUCCGGGGAUCACAUCAAUUACAAAUUCAACUUCUCUAUCAGGUGGUAGACCGGGUAACUCUUCAGGGAACAUAUCAGGGAAUUCAUUCACCAUUGGCACUUGUUCGAGCUUCAAACCAGAACCCUGAGUAUCCAGGAUAUAGGCCAAGAAUGCUUCGUUGCCUUUGUGUAAUAACCUCUGAGCAGAGAGAGCUAAAAUAAUUCUGACUGUAUCACCCAGAUUUUCAGACCCAACUGAGAUUAUAUCUCCCGUUUGACAUUUCAAACUGAUUUGUUUAUCACGAUAAUUCACUACCGCAUCAUGUCUCAUUAACCAGUCCAUCCCCAGAAUAAUGUCAAAUUCCCGAAAAGGUAACAACAUCAAAUCAGCGAGGAAUUCAUAGCCUUUCACUUUCAGUGGACAAUUACGACAUAUCAAAUUAACCAUCACACUUUGACCUAAUGGGUUUGUGACUUGUAUAUCAAAUUCAGUGGACUCAACAGAUAAUUUCUUUUUAGAUGCUAACAUAGUGCAAAUAUAUGAAUGAGUAGAUCCAGGGUCUAUCAAUGCAUAAACAAUAACAUCAUAAAGAUAGAAAGUACCAGCAAUUACAUCAGGAGCCGUAGCCUCUUUCCUUGCUCGAAUGGCGUAGGUACGUGCUGGUGCUCUAUUCUCUGAUCGACCAACUGAUUCCCUCGUACCCGAACGGGUAGUCCCUGUAGCACUGCUCUGGCCCGAACGUCUACUUUUUUGGGGAAUGGUUCUCUGUAUUUCUUUCUGUUCCACUUCAUCUUUUUACAGUCGGGAACAAUCUCGAAUAAGAUGAUUAGUACCCUCACAUUUUUAACAAGCCCCUAUCUUGGUCCUGCAUUCUCUGAAAUGAUAUCUUCCACAAUAUUGACACUUAGGCCGGGGAGCAUUCUGAACACUGCUCACACUUGCUGGAGGUCUAUCGAAUACCCUGAAAUCAGAUUGUCUUGGUCUAUCUCUACCCGAUCUUCUCGACAGUGAUGUAGUUCGACUAAUUUCUUCUCUAGAUUUGUUCACUGGUAAAUCUAAAAAUGACUUAGAAGCACCUCUUUUGAAUGGCUCUUUACUUUUUCGAUCCCGCUACAUUUUUCUGUUGUAUACUUCUUCGAGCUUUUGAGCACGGUCUGACAGAACAGGGAACUCUCGUAUUUCAUUACCCCCAAUCAUCAUUCUAAUUUCAUCAUUUAACCCUUCUUCAAACCUGAUACACAUUUCUUCUUUAAUAAGUACAAUGUCUCGGGCAUAUUUGCUGAGGUAGACAAAUUCUCUUUCGUAUUCAGCCACUGAUUUAUCUCCCUGGCGUAGGUCGAGAAAUUCCCUUUUAUUUUUAUCCAAAUACCGUCUGCCCACAUAUUUCUUCUUAAAUUCAUUUUGGAAAAAUUCCCAAUAAAUUUUCUCUGUCGGAACCACAUCCUCAAUCGUCUCCCACCAACUAUAAGCUUCUUCUUUCAAUAGAGACACAACACAACUCAAAUAAUCAUCUAGUGAGCAAACCAUUUCUUUAAAAAUUCUUAUUAAACUCUGUAACCAAUAUUCAGCUUUGACGGGAUCUUUAUCAGUCCUUCCCCGAAAUUCUUCGGCUCCAAGUUUUUUAAGCCUUUCCAAUGGAGAACGCUUUCUGGAUUCAGUCGUUGUAAAAGGUGGAGGAGCAACCGGGUGUGCCACCGAUGGAGCAGUAGGGGGAGGAGGUGGUUCAGCCUGAUUUCUUUCUUGCCUCAUUUCAGUAUAUCAUUGAUUCAUAAUCCCAUAAAUCAUAUUCUUUAACUCUUGCUCUCGCAUUUGGGAGAUCGGAACAUCACUGCUUGUUCUUUGUUUAGAAUUAUGUAUUCUACUAUUAACUUCUUCUUUCUCAGUACGUUUAGGUAUAUCUGACAUCUCCAUAACCGGAGAAUAUCUACUAUUAACUUCUUCUUACUGGAUUCAGUCGUUGUAAGAGGUGGAGAAGCAACCGGGGGUACCACCGAUGGAGCAGUAGGCAGAGGAGGUGGUUCAGCCUGAUUUCUUUCUUGCCUCAUUUCAGUAUACCACUGAUUCAUAAUCCCAUAAAUCAUAUUCUUUAACUCUUGCUCCCGUAUUUGGGAGAUCAGAACACCACUGCUUGUUCUUUGUUCAGAAUUAUGUAUUCUACUAUUAACUUCUUCUUGCUCAGUACGUUCAGGUAUAUCUGACAUCUCUAUAACCGGAGAAUAUCUAUAAAAAUAACAAAGAUUAGAUCGCAUCAUACGCAUUACACUAUCACAGAUUUAUAUGGCAUGUAUUUCUAAACACUUUACACUUUACACAUAUUCCGAGAACCGGCUAAACCUGGAUCUGAUACCAAUAAAAUGUAACACCCUUUACCUGAGACCGUUUCCAGAGUCGAGCAUGAGGCGUUACUUGACUUAACUUAAAAGUUCAGGGCAUAAAAAAUUACUUUCAAAAUUAAUUUCACCAUUCACAAUAAAGCUGUCCACCCACGCAGCAAUCUCUAAAUUAAUUAUAACUCAAGAUGCGAAACUCGAAAUUUAGAUCUGUAUAUUUUACCUAAAACUAGACUCAUAUAUCUAUUCACUACAAAAUUUUCAGACUUUUUGGUUUGGCAAAUUAGUACAGUUUAUUAAUUGAAGUCUCCCCUGUUUCACUAAUAGACUAUCCUGACCUCUCGUCACUAAAAUUCAAUUAUCUCAUUAUACAAACUUGACUUGGUGCUUUCAAUUAUUUUUACUUAAAAUAGACUCAUUAAGGAAUUUAAACAUAUAAUUUAUAACUCAUAAUUCAUUUUGUACAAUUUUUAAUGAAUUUCUAAAGUCAAAAUAGGGGACUUCAAAAUCAUUCUGACUCUGUCUCACUAAAAUUCAAAUAUCUAAAAGUAUAUAACUCUUUUGCUUACUCUAUUGCUUUAAUGUGAAAGUAGGCUCAUUCAGCUUUAAUUUCAUCUCUCACUCAACUUAUAAUUCUAAGUCCACAUUUUUGGUGAUUUUUCAAAGUUACAUCAAUACUGCUGUCCAAAAACUGUUCCAUUGAAAUUUUUUUAAAAAAUUUCAAUAUAACCCUUUUAUAAUUAUCUAACCUUCCCUGCAAAUUUUAAAUCACAACCAAUUUCAGUAUUUCAACCACUUCACUUAAAUACUAAUGAAGUUCAACCAAUCAACCAUUUCAAACUAAAAACAUGCAUAGUUCAAUGUCUAACACAACCAUCACAUUCAAAUUUACUUUGCAUAUUUAGAUAUUCAUUCUUUUACUUUUUACUUCAAUUCCCUAUACAUGUCAUAUAAAUCCAAAAAGUUGUUUAACAAAAUCUACCGGAGUAAAUCUUGAUAGUGUGAUUCUUGGUGUAGAUCCGAUCCUCUGAAUGUAUAAAUACGUCAAUCUACAAGAAUCAAUAAACGCACAAGUAGGCUUAAUAAACACACAAGUAAGCUUAUAGAAAGCUUAGUAAGUUCAUAGGCACCAAACAUAAAACUUACCAAACAUUUAUACACUUAUACAUUAUACACCAUUACUAAGUUUACCUGUCAACCACAUUCUUUGGUGAGUUCCUUGGUAUAAACUCACUAAUACUUAUUCUUUUACCAUAAUUCCUUUGGGCCCAUUUGUCACUUACCAUCCUUGAUCAAAAUUAAGGAACGGUUACGGAAAAUUGAGUACUUCACUUUCACUUUGCCAUAGUAUAAAUAUGGUCUUACGUAUGAUCACUUAUCACUUGUCCUUGAUCAGGUUAGUGUAGCUAGGCUACCACUUAUCACUUGUUCCUGAUCAGAUAAGUGUAGCUAAGCUAUCACUUGUCACUUUGUCACUUGAUCAAAAGUACUCAAAUCCGGUGUUCCGCUCAAUUUGAUCACUUAUUCAGUUUGCGCAUUUUUAUUUUAUUCUCAUUUCAUCAAUAAAUAUAUAUAUAUAUUUCACCAUACAUUAUAUAAUUCAUGAAAUUAACAUUUAAUCAUUAAAUUUCAUCCAUAUGAACUUACCUAGGUCGAUUUUCUGAAUUUGUAAAAGUUCAAGGACUAAUCAGCUACUUUUUCUUUUCCUCGACUUGUUUCGGGUUCUCGAUAUGAUUCAAAUAUAUGAAAAACUAGCUUGGAGGGACUCUUCAAUGGCGUUUUUUGCUGAGAAAUAUGAUGAAUUGCCUAGAAACUCUUUUAGUUAAGAUUUUUAUUUGUUAACUUUUACAAAAUUUCUAAUUUUGCCCUUAUUACAUCACUUUUUCAGAUUUUUCUUCUCUUAUGCCGUCUCAACUAUUCCAUAUUAGCAUAUUUAUGCCUUAAGUCCCUCCUUAUUUACCACUUAAGCUGUUUAAUCACUUUUAACAAAUUUUACAUUAUUUUCAGUUUAGUCAUUUUUAAUUAAUUAACCACCAAAACGUUAGAAUUUUCUAACGAAACUUUAAUACCAACUCAAUGACACUCUAUAAAUGUUUCUAAAAAUAUUUAUGGCUCGAUUGAUGAGUUUGAGGUUUCGAUACCUCAUUUUCGACUCUAAUUAUUUUAAUAUUUAUUCUUAGUACACUAUUCACUAUUUCAAAAAUUUUCCUAACUUCGCAUUUAACUUAUACUCACUAAAUUAAUAAUAUUUUCUACUCAUUUGUCAAAUUUAAUGAUCUCGAAUUACCAUUCCGACACCACUGAAAAUUCAGGCCAUUACAACUCUCCCCCCAUUUUGGAAAUUUCGUCCCCGAAAUUUCGUACCUGAAAAUAAAUUCGAAUACUGAAAUCUCAUCAAUUCCUCUGUUUCCCAGGUUGCCUCCUCAGAUCCAUGUCGAUUCCAUAACACCUUAACUAGUGGUACAUGUUUAUUCCUCAACUCUUUAACAUCCCAAGCUAAAAUUUUCACCGGUUCCUCUGAAUAAGUCAUGUCAGGUUGAAGCUCUAUUUCCGUAUGAGGAAUUACAUGUGAUGGAUCUGAUUUGUACCGUCUCAACAUAGACACAUGAAACACAUUAUGAAUCUUUGCAAGUUCCGGGGGCAAAGCUAAUCUAUAGGUUACCAGACCGAUUCUUUCAAUGAUUUCAUACGGCCCGAUAAAUCGUGGGCUGAGUUUUCCCUUUUUGCUGAACCGCAAAACUUUCUUCCACGGUGACAGUUUCAAAAAUACACGAUCACCCACAUUAAACUCUCUAUCCCUUCUCUUCAAAUCUGCAUAUGAUUUUUGCUGAUCGGAGGCAGCUUUUAAGCAAUCUCGAAUAAUACGAACUUUUUCUUCAGUUUCCUGAGUCAAUUCCACUUCCACCAGUUUCAAUUCACUUAAUUUAGACCAAUAUAAUGAAGUUCUACACUUUCUUCCAUACAAAGCUUCAAACGGUGCCAUUUUAAUGCUAGUUUGAUAACUAUUAUUAUAAGCAAAUUCGGCUAAAGGUAAAUACCUUUCCCAGCUACCGCCGAACUCAAGUAUACAACACCUUAACAUAUCUUCUAAAAUCUGAAUCACUCGCUCUGACUGCCCAUCUGUCUGGGGAUGAAAAGCUGUGUUGAAAUUUAAUUUGGUGCCUAAAGCUUCCUGUAAUUUACUCUAAAAUCUCGAGGUAAAUCUCGGAUCUCGAUCUGAAAUAAUAGAUGUCGGUACCCCAUGUAACCUCACUAUCUCAGACACAUAUAACUCCGCUAACUUUUCAAGCUGAUAAUCUGCUCUGACUGGAAUAAAAUGUGCUGAUUUAGUUAACCGAUCAACAAUCACCCAUAUCGAAUCUUUCUUCUUCGAAGUUACUGGUAAUCCGGAUACAAAAUCCAUCGCAACAUGUUCCUAUUUCCACUCUGGAAUCAUAAUGGGCUGUAACAACCCUGUCGGCACUUGAUGCUCAGCUUUCACCUGUUGGCAGAUCAAACAUCUUGCUACAUACUCACAGAUUUCCCAUUUAAUUCCGGGCCACCAAUACAUUUUCUUCAAAUCACAAUACAUUUUUGUACUAACCCGGUGAAUAGAACACAUACUACUGUGAGCCUCUGAUAAAAUAUCAUUUUUCAAGUUUAAAUUAUUCGGAAUACAUAUUCUAUUACGAUAAUAUAACAUACCAUUUUCAUCAAUGGAGUAUUCUGAGCUUAACUUAUCUUGAACCAUCUGUCGUUUUAUCAUCAAUUUUGGGUCAUCAUCCUGUAACUCUUGAAUCCAUUGAAAGAACACGGGUUUAGCCUUUAAUUCUGCUAGUACAGAACCAUCCUCAUUAAUAGAUAAAUGAGCAUUCAAUGCCCGUAGUGCAAAUAAUGAUGAUUUCUGACUAAGUGCAUCUGCUGCGGCAUUUGCUUUCCCUGGGUGAUAGUCAAUGACAAGAUAAUAAUCUUUCUGCAACUCUAACCAUCGUCUCUAUCUCAAAUUUAACUCUUUCUGAGUCAUUAAAUACUUUAAGCUUUUAUGAUCAGUAUACACGUAACAUUUCUCACCAUAUAAGUAGUGUCUCCUUAUCUUCAAAGCAAACACGAUCGCUGCCAAUUCAAAAUCAUGUGUAGGAUAAUUCUUGUCGUGCGGUUUCAGUUGCCGAGAAGCAUAUGCCACCACUUUGCCUGACUGAAUAAGUACACAGCCCAACCCAUUUACAGAUGCAUCACUAUAUACUACAAAUGGUACACCCGAUUCUGGUUGAGUCAACAUUGGAGCCUCUGUCAACAUCUUUUUCAACUGAUCAAAACUCCGCUGACAUUUAUCUGACCAUAUAAAUUCAACAUUCUUUUGUAGAAAUCGAGUCAACUGUAAGGUAAUCAUUGAGAAAUCUUUGAUAAAUCGACAAUAAUAACAUGCCAAUCGUAGAAAACUCCACACUUCAAUAACAUUCUUCGGAACUUUCCAAUUUACCAUUGCCGCUACCUUACUUGGAUCGACUCUUAUUCCAUCAGCUGAUACAAUAUGACCCAAAAAUGCAACUUCAUGGAGCCAAAAUUCUCAUUUGCUAAAUUUGGCAUACAAUUGUUUCUCUCACAAAGUCUGUAAUACAAUCCUUAGAUGUUGUGCAUGUUCGGACUCUGUCUUUGAAUAAAUCAAUAUAUCGUCAAUGAACAACCACAAAUCUAUCCAAUUAUGACUGAAAAAUUCUAUUCAUCAAAUCCAUAAAAGCAGCAAGGGCAUUGGUUAAACCAAAUGGCAUCACCAAAAAUUCAUAAUGACCAUAUCGAGUUUGGAAGGCAGUUUUCGGCACAUCACACUCUUUAACUUUCAACUGAUAAUACCCAGAUUGAAGAUCUAUCUUGGAAAAUAUUGCAGCACCUUUCAACUGAUCAAAUAAAUCAUCAAUAUGAGGCAAAGGAUAUUUAUUCUUUACUGUUACCUUAUUCAACUGCCUGUAAUCUAUACACAGUCUUAGAGAACCGUCCUUUUUUUUCACAAACAAGACAGGUGCACCCCAGGGCGACAUACUCAGUCUGAUGAACCAUUUCUCUAAUAACUCCUGUAACUGCGCCUUCAACUCUUUUAACUCGGCUGGAGCCAUUCUGUACGGUGUCAUUGAGAUAGGAGUUGUUCCGGCGAUCACAUCAAUUACAAAUUCAACUUCUUUAUCAGGUGGUAGACCGGGUAACUCUUCAGGGAACACAUUAGGGAAUUCAUUCACUACUGGCACUUGUUUGAGCUUCAAACCAGAACCCUGAGUAUCCAUGAUAUAGGCCAAGAAUGCUUCGUUGCCUUUGCGUAAUAACCUCUGAGCAGGGAGAGCUGAAAUAAUUCUGACUGUAUCACCCAUAUUUUCAGACCCAACUGAGAUUAUAUCUCCCGUUUGACAUUUCAAAUUGAUCUGUUUAUCACGACAAUUCACUACCGCAUCAUGUCUCACUAACCAGACCAUCCCAAGAAUAAUGUCAAAUUCUCGAAAAGGUAACAACAUCAAAUCAGCGGGGAAUUCAUAGCCUUUCACUUUUAAUGGACAAUUACGACAUAUCAAAUUAACCAUCACACUUUGACCUAAUGGGUUUGUGACUUGUAUAUCAAAUUCAAUGGACUUAACAAAUAAUUUCUUUUCAGAUGCUAACAUAGUGCAAAUAUAUGAAUGAGUAGAUCUAGGGUCUAUCAAUGCAUAAACAAUAACAUCAUAAAGAUAGAAAGUACCAACAAUUACAUCAGGAGCCGUAGCCUCUUCCCUUGCUCGAAUGGCGUAGGUACGUGCUGGUGCUCUAUUCUUUGAUCGACCAACUGAUUCCCUCGUACCCGAACGGGUAGUCCCUGUAGCACUGCUCUGGCCCGAAUGUCUACUUCUUUGGGGAAUGGUUCUCUGUAUCUCUUUCUGUUCCACUUCAUCUUUUUACAGUCGGGGACAAUCUCGAAUAAGAUGAUUAGUAGCCCUACAUUUUUAACAAGCCCCCAUCUUGGUCCUGCAUUCUCCGAAAUGAUAUCUUCCACAAUAUUGACACUUAGGCCGGGGAGCAUUCUGAACACCGCUCACACUUGCUGCAGGUCUAUCGAAUACCCUGAAAUCAGAUUGUCUUGGUCUAUCUCUACCCGAUCUUCCCAACAUUAAUGUAGUUCGACUAAUUUCUUCUCUAGAUUUCUUCACUGGCAAAUCUAAAAAUGACUUAGAAGCACCUCUUUUGAAUGGCUCUUUACUUUUUCGAUCCCGCUGCAUUUUUCUGUUGUAUACUUCUUCGAGCUUUUGAGCACGGUCUGACAGAACAACGAACUCUCGUAUUUCAUUACCCCCAAUCAUCAUUCUAAUUUCAUCAUUUAACCCUUCUUCAAACCUGAUACACAUUUCUUCUUUAGUAGGUACAAUGUCUCGGGCAUAUUUGCUGAGGUAAACAAAUUCUCUUUCGUAUUCAGCCACUGAUUUAUUUCCCUGGCGUAGGUCGAGAAAUUCCCUUUUAUUUUUAUCCAAAUACCGUCUGCCCACAUAUUUCUUCUUAAAUUCAUUUUGGAAAAAUUCCCAAUAAAUUUUCUCUGCUGGAACCACAGCCUCAAUCGUCUCCCACCAACUAUAAGCUUCUUCUUUCAAUAGGGACACAGCACAUCUCAAAUAAUCAUCUGGUGAGCAAACCAUUUCUUUAAAAAUUCUUAUCAAACUUUGUAACCAAUAUUCAGCUUUGACGGGAUCUUCAUUAGUCCUUCCUGAAAUUCUUCGGCUCCAAGUUUUUUAAGCUUUUCCAAUAGAGAACGCUUACUAGAUUCAGUCGUUGUAGGAGGUGGAGGAGUAACCGGGGGUACCAUCGAUGGAGCAGUAGGGGGAGGAGGUGGUUCAGCAUGAUUUCUUUCUUGCCUCAUUUCAAUAUACCACUGAUUCAUAAUCUCAUAAAUCAUAUUCUUUAAUUCUUGCUCUCGCAUUUGGGAGAUCGGAACAUCACUGCUUGUUCUUUGUUCAGAAUUAUGUAUUCUACUAUUAACUUAUUCUUACUUAGUUCGUUCAGGUAUAUCUGACAUCUUUAUAACUGGAGAAUAUCUAUAAAAAUAACAAAGAUUAGAUCGGAUCAUACGCAUCACACUAUCACAGAUUUAUAUGGCAUGUAUUUCUAAACACUUUACACUUCACACAUAUUCCGAGAACCGGCUAAACCGGGAUCUGAUACCAAUAAAAUAUAACACCCUUUACCCAAGACCGUUGCCCGAGUCGAGCAUGAGGCGUUACUUGACUUAACUUAAAAGUUCAGGGCAUAAAAAUUUACUUUCAAAAUUAAUUUCACCAUUCACAAUAAAGCUGUCCACCUGCGCAGGAGUCACUAAAUCAAUUAUAACUCAAGCUACGAAACUCAAAAUUUAGAUCCGUAAAUUUUCCCUAAAACUAGACUCAUAUAAAUAUUCACCAUAAAUUUUUAAGAAUUUUUAGUUUAUCCAAUUAGUAUAGUUUAUUAGUUUAAGUCUCCCUUGUUUCACUAAUAGACUACCCUGACCUCUCGUCACUAAAAUUCAAUUAUCUCCUUAUACAGACUUGACAUGGUGCUUCCAAUUAUUUUUACUUAAAAUAUACUCAUUAAGGAAUUUAAAAAUAUAAUUUAUAACUCAUAAUUACUUUUUUACAAUUUUUAUUGAAUUUCUAAAUUCAGAACAGGGGACUUCAAAAUCAUUCUGACCCUGUCUCACUAAAAUUCAAAUAUCUAAAAGUAUAUAACUCUUUUGCUUACUCUAUUGCUUUCAUGUGAAAGUAUACUCAUUCAGAUUUAAUUUCAUAUCUCACUUAACUUAUAAUUCUAUUUCCACUAUUUUUGGUGAUUUUUCACAGUUACAUCAAUGCUGCUGUCCAAAAACUGUUCCAUUGAAAUUUUUAAAAAAAAUUCAAUAUAACCCCUUUAUAAUUAUCUAACCUUCCCUGCAAAUUUCAAAUCACAACCAAUUUCAGUAUUUCACCUACUUCACUUAAAUACUAAUGAAGUUCAACCAAUCAACCAUUUCAAACUAAAAACAUGUAUAGUUCAAUGUCUAACACAACCAUCAUAUUCAAAUUUACUUUGCAUACUUAGUCAUUCAUUCUAUUACUUUUUACUUCAAUUCCCUAUACAUGCCAUAUAAAUCCAAAAAGUUGUUUAACAAAAUCUACCAGAGUAAAUCUAGAUAGUGUGAUUCUUGGUGUAGAUCCGAUCCUCCGAAUGUAUAAAUACGUCAAUCUACAAGAAUCAAUAAACACAUAAUUAAGCUUAUAGAAAGCUUAGUAAGUUCAUAGGCACCAAACAUAAAUCUUACCAAACAUUUAUACACUUAUACAUUAUACACCAUUACUAAGUUUACCUGUCAACCACAAUCUUUGGUGAGUUCCUUGUUAUAAACUCACUACUACUUAUUCUUUUACCAUAAUUCCUUUGGGCCCAUUUGUCACUUACCAUCCUUGAUCAAAAUUAAGGAACGGUUACGGAAAAUUGAGUACUUCACUUUCACUUUGCCAUAGUAUAACUAUGGUCUUACAUAUGAUCACUUAUCACUUGUCCUUGAUAAGAUAAGUGUAGCUAGGCUACCACUUAUCACUUUGUCACUUGAUCAGAUAAUUGUAGCUAAAGCUACCACUUAUCACUUUAUCACCACUUAUCACUUGUUCCUGAUCAGAUAAGUGUAGCUAAAACUACCACUUAUCACUUUGUCACCACUUAUCACUUGUUCCUGAUCAGAUAAGUGUAGCUAAAGCUACCACUUAUCACUUUGUCACUUGAUCAGAUAAGUGUAGCUAAGCUAUCACUUAUCACUUUGUCACUUGAUCAGAAGUACUCAAAUUCGGUGUUCCGCUCAAUUUGAUCAUUUAUUCAGUUUUCACAUUUUUAUUUUAUUCUCAUUUCAUCAAUAAAUAUAUAUAUUUCAGCAUACAUUAUAUAAUUCAUGAAAUUAACAUUUAAUCAUUAAAUUUCAGCCAUAUGAACUUACCUGGGUCGAUUUAUUGAAUUUGUAAAAGUUCAGGGACUAAUCAGCUACUUUUUCUUUUCCUCGACUUGUUUCGGGUUCUCAAUAUGAUUCAAAUAUAUGAAAAACCAGCUUGGAUGGACUCUUCAAUGGCGUUUUUUGCUGAGAAAUAUGAUGAAUUGCCUAGAAACUCUUUUAGUUAAGAUUUUUAUUUGUUAACUUUUACAAAAUUUCCAAUUUUGCCCUUAUUACAUCACUUUUUCAGAUUUUUCUUCUCUUAUGCCGUCUCAACUAUUCCAUAUUAGCAUAUUUAUGCCUUAAGUCCCUCCUUAUUUGCCACUUAAGCUGUUUAAUCACUUUUAACAAAUUUUACAUUAUUUUCAGUUUAGUCCUUUUUAAUUAAUUAACCACCCAAACGUUAGAAUUUUCUAACGAAACUUUAAUAUCAAUUCAAUGACACUCUAUAAAUGUUUCUAAAAAUAUUUAUGGCUCGAUUGAUGAGUUUGAGGUUUCGAUACCUCAUUUUUUAUUCUAAUUAUUUUAAUAUUUAUUCUUAGUAUACUAUUCACUAUUUUAAAAAUUUUCCUAACUUCGCAUUUAACUUAUACUCACUAAAUUAAUAAUAUUUUCUACUCAUUUGUCAGAUUUAGUGAUCUAGAAUUACCAUUCCGACACCACCGAAAAUUCAGGCCAUUACAUUAUGUUUAUUGACUCAUUUUUUCUGUUGACUGAAUUUCAGGUAACUCAUCGACUUAGGCGGGUCGGCAUGGCGAGAGCUCGGUCAUCCUUAUUUAGUAAUUUUCUGUUUAAAUUAAACUUAUGCUAUAGUUGUUUUAUCUUGAAUUACAGAUUGCAAAUUUAUAUUUCUACACUAGUUCAACUAUUUAAACAUUUUCUGACAAUUAAACUUUAAUUAGUUAAAAGUGAGAAUUUCUUAAAUGAUUUGUUGUAGCUUUCCAAGCUUGGUCCUAACAUCUAGGUCGGGUUUGGGGUGUUACAACCCAAAACCCCCAAACUUUCCCCUCAAAACUUUUACUCCCCCACCCUUUCUCUUUCUCGCUCACCCUCCCAAACCCUUUUACUUUUCCCCCAAAACUUUUACUUCCCACUUUUACCCCCAAAUCAAAAAUCAAAAUCCUCCCAAAAAAAUCCUUAAACCUAAAUAGUAAUAAUUUUAUUUAUGGCCACUAUUUAUAUUAUAAAUUAAAUUUCACAUUUUCUAUUAUUUAUAUUAUUAAAUUGUUUAAUCAUUUUGAAUCUUUAUCAAUUUCUGUUAAAACUGUAUCAUUGAUGAUGUCAUACAUUAUUUGUGUUAAAAAUUUCUAUUGGUAUCAAUUUCACAUUUUAUCUUUAAAAUAAAUUUUAUUAAAAAAAUUACUUUUUUACAUUUAAUAUAUUUUUUAAUUUCAAAAUAUAUGGUGACAAGAAUUAGAAGAUAAUUGAAGCAACUAAGCAAGUAAAAAAGCUAACAUGUAUAUAAAAGAUUAAAUAAAUUAUGAAGGGAUGAAAGUUAAUAACACAUUUGAUUACGGUGGACAAAUUUGAUAAUGAUGGGUGACAGUGGCUACAAGGAUCCAAAGUAAUUUUUUCAAUUAACUGGAAACAAAUAUAUUCGAUUCGAUUCGAUAAAAUUUGAAAUCAUUUUAGGAUGAUAAAAUAAGAUUCGUCAACUCGAUUAACUCGAAGUUUUUUCAUUUGAUUCGAUUAGACGCUCACCCCUACAAAGUAUGACCGAUUGGUCUGAUUCUGAAAAAAAUUGGUUUUGAUCAAUGAAAGAACUUUUACGAUGGCGACAGGUCUAACAAACAGGUGAUAUUUUGAAAAGAAAAUUAAUCUCCAUAGUCUCAACCUUAGGAGGGUGAAUUUUGAGCAUUGCAUUUGUUGUCAUUGUUAGACAUUAUAAAGGAAGAAAAAAGAAAGAAAAAAGUUAAAAUGAGGGAAAUUAUUGAAAAAAAGAGAGAAGAGAAUAAUUAAUUUUUUUUAAAAUUUUACAUGUCAAUCUAUUAUUGAUUAGAUUUUUUUAAUGAGUGUAACAUUUUGGUGUUAAAUGGAUAAUAAAAAAAUAUUUUAAGUAUCAUUUAUGAUAAAAAUAUUUAGGUAUCAAUUUGAAAAAAAUAUGUAGCUUAGAUACUAAUUGAUGGGUUAAUUUUUUUAGCUUAAUAAUUUGAUUAAACCGAAAUACCAACUGAAAAAAAGUUUACUCGCCGCUUAUGAAAAAAAAUAAGUAUGAAUUUGUAAGUUAAAUCUCCCUAAAAGAAAAAAUAUAUCACAUUCAAUACGGGGUGAAUGAAGCAAUGAAUGCAAUGGGGUAUUACAACCAGCCACAUGUCAUUCAAUUCAUGUUAUAUCUACCUUGUUGGCCCCACAGGCGGUCUUUUCCAUUAUUUUCGAAGUGAACGACAUGAGUCGGACCUAUAUCGGCCCCAACAAACAACCUCAACCACUUGUUUUGUUAGGUUGUUGACUAAUUUGAAUAUGUCGGCUCAAAGCUUUUUGAAAAUUAAAUUAUUUUUUAUAUUAAUAUCAUAUAGGUAUAAAAAUUUAACGUUUUGUAAAAAAAAUAAAUUUAGUGUUAAAUUUAAAUAAUUAUAAAAAAUUAUACAAAAUACAAAGACAACUUAGAGUCAAUAAAAAAAAUAUGGAAAAUCAAUUCAUACAUGAAAUGGCAUAAAAAUAUUAUGAACACUAUACAAAUAUAUGAAUGUUUUUAUAUCUAUAUAAAAUAAGUUAUUAACGCUUAAAUUUCAACCAAUUAAAUAUUAAUUUAACUAUAAACUAUAAAAAAUUAAAAUUUCAUUUACCCUAAACAAUUAUUCUAAUUUCGCCCCUGUAUAAAAUAGUUGUAAUAUUAAAAAAAAAGUUAUACGAAUAUGGAGUGUUAAAAAAAAAGGCUUUCAACUUUUAAUAUUCCAAACAAAUAAAAGAAAUAAUAAUAACAGUUUACAAGUGCAAUAAAAGUAAUACAUAUUUGAUGAAUUAAAAAUAGAAUAAAUAUAACUAACUAUAACAGAAAUAUAUUUAGAUUUAAACCAAAUUUUUUUGAAGAUGAAAUUUGAACUCACAAAUAAUAUUUAUAAAUGAUGAUAUGUUUUAGAACAUGUAUAUUUUAAUUUCAUUUGAUAUUUAAAUUAAAUGAAUGAAAUGAGUAUAUUAGCAUAAAUAUAUUGAAUUUCUAGAUUUAUUAAAAAUCCAACUAAAUAGAGUAGAUCCAUAAAUUUAAAAAAUGAUUAUGGAUUUUGAAAUAUAAAUCUAAAAUUUAAAAUCUGAAACCCUCCUAAAUGUUUUCCAAAGUAAGGCGGGGAUAAAUGGUAUAGGGAAGACGGUGGGUAGAUAGAUGUACGGUUUAUUUAUAACUUCGUUUUUAUUAGUCGGCUUACAGUUUCAUAAAAAGCAUCCGUGCAAGGCAUGUUCAAAUGCUGCACUAGCAUACCACUACUAUAAAAAAAACACAUACAAGAGCACCACAAAUUUAUCCCAAAAUACAUUAAAUAAAUGACUCCUAAGGGUGCCAGAUUUAACUAGUGUGUCUGGGAUUGUAUUAGCCUCUCUGAGGCCAUGUGAAAAAAUUUAAUGUUAUUGUUAUAUUUCCAUCUCGAUACGUUGCAAGACAUGAAGCAAUCUGUAAACAACUCUCUUUUGGAAGCAGUUUGCAUACGACUCUUCGCUAAGAACCAUUUGUUGUGAUCUUUCGCUUAGGAUUGCUCACAAAUGACCCCCAUGCACCCUAUCUCUCUCCCUCCUUAACUCAUCAUCUUGAACUCUCAUCCUAUUAUAGGUGAAUCGAGACUCUUCUCCUCCACCCUUUCCUCGUUGGUUACUUGUAGCAAAAAAAAUUAAUUUCACCGAAAAUGUUGGAGAGAUCCCAUGGUCUAAGUGUGUUGUUAGAGCAAAGCUCGAUGGCAAAUUUGGAGUCAAAUUUUAGAAUCAACCCUUUAAAAUCCAUUACACCGUAAAGGAAAAUUUUUACAAUUACAUUAACAAUAAAUAUUCAAAAUUUACUCAUCUAUCUAUACUUAUAUUAAGCCUUAUUUGAGUUGGAGUCAAGAGUCAACUAGGUACUAACUCAGUUGAGAAUUUACUAAAUAAUUUUAAUAUAAAGUAAAAAAAAUAUUAAUACGAGGGUGUUUUUAUCUUUUCAUAUUUUUAAAUAAAAAUACUAUAAUAAGAUUUAAACUUAAGUUUAAAAUUUCAAUCAAAACAUCACUUAAAUUUAAAAUAACAUUUUUAUAUAAAAUGUGUUUAGAUUCUAAGAUAAUGAAAUUUAUGAUGAGGUAUUCAAAAUGUGUUUGAAUAUGCUAAUGAGAUAUUCAAAUUGGUAUGCACAUUCCUAAUCAGGGAGCAUUAAUGAUAAUUUAGUAAAAUAAAUUAUCUCAUUAGCAUAUAGUUUAUUAUAAAAUUAUUGUGUAAAAUAAACAAUUCACAAACUUAAGAAUUUAUAACACAAAAAUUAUACAUCAAUGUUGUUAGAAUUGUAUUAUAUCCAUCGGUUGAAUUUAAAUUUAAAAAUUUAAUCAGCGAUAAUAAUUAAAAUCGUUUCAAACUAGUAAAAUAUUGAAAAUUAAGAACUAAUAAAAUAGAUUCUAAUUAUUUUUAUUUAAAAAAUGUUACCUUCUUAUUCAGGUUACAUUAAGACAAACCCAUCUUAAUUAUAAGUAUCAUAUUGUGAAUGGUAAACUUCUUACACAACAUCCACCAUUUGUCCAAAUAUGUUAAAUUAGGUGCAACAUAGAAAUUUUAUUGUAAGGAGUGAAUCUCAUUGUUUUUAUUUUCAUCAAACAUACGUCUAACUUUAUUAUUACGGGAUUAGAACUUAAAUUUGAUAAAUUGUGUGGUUUUAGGUGAUUUCUUUUCGUUAAAUUUAUCUAAAUCAACCUAACACUCGAAAAGUGAGAAUUCUCCUAAAAAUUCUUUAUGUUAGCAAAAAAUAUAGUGGAAGUAACUUGAAACGAAAGAGCAAUGAGAGAAUUGAAAAGACACAAGAAAAUAAUGCAUACAAGGUGUUUGAGUAAAUGCUCUCAAUAAAUUCUUUAACUCAAGAAGGAAUGAAGUACAACCAGUAUCUAGCCCCCCUAAAAUAGAAAAUUUUCCAUUUAUAUACCUUUAUAAUUUAUAAAAUUUAAAAUUUUACUUUCCCAUAAAAUGAUAAAAAAUUGAUUUAUUUCUUUAAAAAUUAUAAAGAUGACUAUUAAAAUAGUAAAAUUGUAUUUUUAUUAUUGUAAAAAUAUACAAUUUAAUUCUGUCUCCCAAAUUUUUUUUUUUUGGUUUCAUCCCUAAGUACAAUGAUCGUUGUAGCAGGAUACAUAGGCAUUCUAGCACAGAAUGCAAAUAUGUUGCCAAUUAACUUCGAGUCAUGGCAUAAAGUGCCCGAGAGUAACAAGAACCAAGCUCUCGAUAACAUUAAGGUAACAAAAUGUGUAUAUCAUUUAUAAUACUUGAGUUUAAGUUUCGUUUACAUUUACUUUCUGAAGUUGUGUUUUUUGUAGGGGAGAUUUGCUCUAGAGGUCUCCGAUGCUUAUGUAAAGAAGGCAUUGGGAAAAAGAUGGAGAGACCAUAAGAGCACUUUAAAGAAAGACUAUUUUAAGACAAAAACAACACUCGACGAGAGAUUACAAAAUGUCACGCCGGGAAUGCUGAGGUACCAGUGGGAAGAAGUCGUUAGAUUUUGGACUUCGAAGAAAGGAGAGGUAUGUGUUACUACAAAAAUCUUGUAAUUAUUUUGGUUUAUAGUAUUUACUAAUUAACGUACUAAUAAUUUCAUAACGUAGGAUCGUGAACGAGUUGGAACAAGUAGUAGGCAGAAACAAAAAUUCACGCACACAGCUGGGUCGAGAAGUUUUGCGUGUGUAGCUCAGGCCGAGGUAUUUUGAAUUUUUUAAUACUGGCAGAUAUUUAUUACUUUCUAUCAAAUAAUAUUUUUACUAUUGUAUUGUAGGAAGUGUUGUCGGGUCAAAAAGUUGGACGCCUUCAACUUUUUGACAUUACACAUAGGAAGAAAGAUGGAAACCCUAUGACUCCUGAAGCUGCAGAAAUUAUGGUACGUUUGCUUAAUACAAUUUGACUUGUUUUAAUUAUUUAUGCUGUUUAUUUUCUAAUGUUUUUUAUUACAUUUCUUGUAAUGCAAAUAUUGUUAAGUUAUGUUGCAUUUGUUUUGUUAAUAUAUGUUGCGUUCUUAACUAUGUGAUUUAUUUUUUAGGAAAAACUGAAGGAUAAAAAGGCGGAGUACGAAGCGAUUGCUUCCAGUGAUAGUUCUGUUCAUAUUGACGACAUUGAUAACCGGAUUAUCACUGAAGUUUUGGGUCCUGAAAGGUAUGGUCGGGUUCGAUUUCAAGGAUCUUUUGUUAACCCAUCCCAAUAUUUUGGAUCCAGCUCGCAACAAUACAUGCAUUCGGGGAGUCAGGCUCAAGCUGAAGUUCAGAGGUUAAGAGACCAGAUAGCUCAGAUGCAAGCGGCAACGAGUGAGCAAAUUACACAACUUAAAGCGGAGGCAACAUCGAGAGAAGCUGAGGUUCAAAAAAGAUAUGAAGAACUCCAGCUACAACUUAAAGCAGAUGCGGCAGCGAGAGAAGCAGAGGUAGCAGCGAGAGAAGCUGAGGUUCAACGAAAGUAUGAGCAACUGCAGCAGCAGCUUAAAGAAGAUGCGGCAACGAGAGAAGCAGCGGCUGCAGCGAGGGAAGUAGAGGCUGCAGUGAGGGAAUCAGAACAGCAUAAAAAGUUCGAUGAACUCCAGCAGCAGCUUCAGAAUAUGAUGAAGAUGUUUCAGCAGUCGCAACCGCCGUCAUCUUAGACUAUCGUUUAAAUAUACUUCAAUUUUGACUUUGGUAUUAUUAUUUUAACUUUUACAAUUUCUGUCAGAAUAAUACGAAUUUUAUUUUAUUUAUUGACAUUUAUUUUAAAUAUUAUAUAGAUUUGGUUAGAUUUGGUUGGUUGGAUUUGGUUUCUUCUGAUUUGUUUUUAUAGGAGGGGGCUGAAAUUUUUUUUUUCAAAUCUGCAAAAAUUAGCGGCGUUUUUUUGGAUAAGCGCCGCUAAAGACCAUCGUCUAUAGUGGAAUUUUUUGGCUAAGCGCCGCUAAAGACCAUGGUCUAUAGUGGCAUUUUUCGGCUAAGCACCGCUAAAGACCAUGGUCUAUAGUGGCGUUUUUUGUCUAAGCGCCGCUAAAGACCAUGGUGUAUAGUGGCAUUUUAUGGCUAAGCGCCGCUAAAGACCAUGGUGUAUAGUGGCGUUUUUUGGCUAAGCGCCGCUAAAGACCAUGGUCUAUAGUGGCGUUUUUUGUCUAAGCCCCGCUGAAAACCAUGGUCUAUAGUGGCGUUUUUUGGCUAAGCGUCGCUAAAGACCAUGGUCUAUAGUGGCGUUUUGUGGCUAAGCGCCGCUAAAGACCAUGAUCUAUAGUGGCAUUUUUCGGCUAAGCGCCGCUAAAGACCAUGGUCUAUAGUGGUGUUUUUUAGGCUAAGCGCCGCUAAAGACCAUGGUCUAUAGCGGCGUUGCAAAGAAAACGCCGCUAAAGACCAUGGUCUAUAGUGGCGUUUUUUAGGCUAAGCGCCGCUAAAGACCAUGGUCUAUAGCGGCGUUGCAAAGAAAAUGCUGCGAAAGGUCUUGAUCUUUAGCGGUGUUUAUUAUAAAAAGCGCCGCUAAAGUUACCGACGCUGUCAUUAGCGGCGAUCCUUGCGGCGCUUCGUAAAGCGCCGCUAAAAGUAUUUGCGGCGCUAAAAAAUGCCGCUAUAGACCUAAAAAAGCGCCGCUAAAACCCUGUUUUGGUGUAGUGUGAGAUGAUUACAAAUGAAGGGGGAGAUCUCUAUUUAUAGUUGAGCUCCCCUAGAUCCAAUAGUAUAGAUUGAAUUACAUCAACGAUUGAGAUUAGUACUUAUCUACAAGAUGAGUCUUAAGGAUUUUAAACUCUAUACAUCUUUAUCCCUUAGGAUUUACAUUAAUUACUCUGGUAACUCUAGUUUUACUGGAGAGUUUCACUGAACCACCAAAGGUUUAAGUAGAUGAGCUUCUCCAUAUGUUCCACGAGUUGGACAAGUUCAAGCGGAUCAAAUGAGCCCAAUUUAAUUAGUUAAUCUCAAUAAAACGUUCUAUGCACAAUGAUCAUGAACUUUGAUCCACAUCUCAAAAUGAUCAGAUGAAUAAUCUCUCUUAAUUAUAUUUUUAUAAAACUUGAUAUUUUCAUUUAAAAAGAAACACAAUCACAUAUAAUAAUGUCUCCAAAAGAGUCGUCCACUUCAAAGAUUUAAAGUAAUGUAAGAAUGAACCCAACAUUUUUCAAUUAAAAAUAUGUCGAUAGAUAUAGCAAGUUGUAUAACCUUUCAAUUACAAAACAGAUUUCAAUGGGGAUUGCAUCCGGUACAUGCAACUAAAGAACAGAACCGGUGCAUAAAUUGAUUUAAUUAAACUUUGGGUUGAGUAAUCAUGAUUUUCAUUAUUAUUAGACUACGUGAAUGUUGAUAUAAAAUGCUUGAGAGAAGGGUAUAGAAGAAACACAAAAUAAUGAGUGAUAUUAAUUUGUAGAUAAAGAUAAUAUUACAUAGUCGCAAAAAGCGACCUAGUACACAACGCACAACUCUAAAUUAGGAUAACUCCUCUGCUAUCCCUAUGGAUGGAUUUUAACAUCCAUAUUUAUUCUGUAGCUAUCGUUAUUUUGGCUUCCACUAGCUGGUGAACUUUCCAUGCCAAAACUUCACUUAACCCUGCAAAUGAAACAACAAAAAACACAACAUUAAAUGUUGAGCAAUUAAUAAGCAUAAGCAAUGAAACAACUCAUACGAACCUGCUGCAGUCAGUGCUAGGGCUGAUCUUGUAAGGGAUGUUGACACCGCACUUGCCUGGGAGUCCGCUUGCAAUACCAUAGUUGAUGCCAGGAAUGCCGGCGGCCGCACUUUUGAUGCAUUUGCAAGCUGCUUGCCGGUCUGGUGUUGUUUGGGCGGCGGAGUUGAGAGAUUUGAUGCCGCUGCAGCAACCUUGGGGAACGGCACCAGCACCAUUCCCUCUCAAGUAAUUAAUGCAGGGUGCGAGGGAGCCUGUGACUUGACCACAGGUUACGGUCCCUUGAGCCAGGGGUGCACCCACCACCAUGCACAACACCACCACACAUGCAAGCUUAAGGGACAUUGAGCUAGCCAUAUCGAUUAAUUACAAGAAAAACAAACUUGUAAGGAAAAUGCUUGCUUGGAGUAGUAGUAGUAUUGCUGAUUGUUGCGUGGUUAGGGCCCGAGGGUAGGAGGGUUUUUAUAGCCAAAAGUUUUGUGAAGGGAUAUGGAACGAACUGAGAAACACGUACGAAUAGAAUAUGGUUAGGCGUUGGUAGUUGUCCCAAUUCAAUGCCAAGGUUUCUUUUUUUCUUUUUCAUGUUUCAGCUUAUGGUUGAGUGUGUUUAAUGCUUUGAAAAAGGUUUGUAUCUACCACUUUCAUCUUCAUCACUAAUGCUGAAUUACUCCGUUGAUUAAUGCAUCAUAUUAGCCUUGUCCUAGUGUUACCGGUUUUCUGAUAUUAGUAGCUUUACCAAUAAAAGAUGCUAUCAAAUAUAGUUUUCAGGAUGAUAUUAAAAAUUAAGGUUUUUUAGUUACAAAUAAAAUUGUCACAUUAUCAAAUUUUAAAGAUAUGAAAUUAUUAUUAUAAACUCAUCUAUAGAGAAAUUAUUUUAUGAGCCCUUUCCACCACAUUAUUCACAGUCCAUUUUCAAUUAUUUAAUAAUAUUUCAACAAUAUUUUUCAUGUCAUUGACACAUAAUUUUAAUAAAUUUUUUACCCUGAACCUUGAGUCUAGAAUCCCAAACCCUAAAUAAAAAACUUAAAACCCCAAACUAUAACCCCAAACACUUGCAUCAUAAACUCGAACCGCGAACCUCAAACUCAUAAUCUGUAACCUUGAACCCAAACUUGUAAUCUCGAACCCUUGAACCCUUGAACCCUGAACCUAAACCUUGAACCCUGAACUCAAAGCCCAAAACCAAAACUGAACCCUGAACCUUAAAUCUCAAACCCAAACCUUAAACCUCGAGGUUUGGGUUCAAGGUUCAAGGUUCAGGGUUUGAGUUCAAGGUUCGAGGUUUAGGAUAAAAUAAUUACCAAAAUUUGUAACAGAAUAAAAGAGUUCGUUUAUAAUUUAAAAAGCAAUUAUUUUAAGUAAUUUAAUUAAAGUGAAAUUAAGUUAGAGAAAAUAUUAGAUAUAGAUGAGUGUAUAAUAAUACUUUAUUGUCUUUAAAAUUUAAUGACGUGGUACUAUUUUAUUGGUGCCUCAAACUAUACUUUUUAGAAUAAUCCUAAUACAAUUUAUUCCCAUAUUAAAUACGUAUGCUUUCUAUAUUUUUUCGAAAAAAUAAAUUUUAUUCAUAAACUUUCUAUAUAUAAAUAUAUGUUUUAUUUAAAAUUUAUAAAUACAGAAAAAUUAAAAUAUAAAUAUAUGUCAAAGUAGCUAUUAAGUGUAGAAUUAAACAAUUAUAACAUAUAAAUAGAUUAAAAAUUAGGACAAAAAAUCAAUCUAUUACAUAAAAUAUAAAUUAUGAAUGAAAACAAUCUAAAUUAUAGUCUGGCUAAUCAAACUAAAACUUACAUAUAACCAUAUGACUUUAAGGGUCUUGAAUAUGGUUACUUAAAAGCUUAUAGUUCAGCUUUUACCCACUACGUCAAGGCUUCAUUUACGUUUUUUUUAACCAUAUAUUUUUCAUAUAAUUAUAUAUAUAUAUUUUGCAUAAAAAAUCCCCAAGACGUUAAUUACUUCUAUAUAAUGUAGCGAUUAAGUCCUCAAACAAAAAUUGCUCAACAUCAAUGCAUGUAUAGAUCAAUUUUAUAUAUCAAAGACCAAUACUAUCUUUUUCUUAAAAAAAAAAAAAAACCAAUAUGUUGUGAUUGCUUAGCUAUUGUUCCUAAGUCUUCCUGAAAAAGGUUUCACAGCGAGAGGAGAAAAAAAAAAGUUGAACUUGUCUUGGUUUGCCCCAUAAUGAUUGAAGCAUAGACAAGAUUAUAAAUGUUAAUUUAGUAUACGACAUAAUAAUAUAAUAUAAUAUAUUUAAAUGUAUAUCUCCUCACCUCCUAGACGCUGUCAGUUAUUUUAUUUUUUGGGAUUCUUUUAACAAAAGGUUGAGCUUUUUAUUAGGUUUUAUUUGAUUUUUCAUUUAUUAAUAUAAUUUUUUUAUUUUUAUAUAUUUUAGUUAUUAUUAAUUUUUGUUGGAAAUUUGUACGGUCUUGUUCUAACAACAAUUACAACAAGCUUUUUGGAACAAUCAAAAGUUUUGGGUGUUGGCAUGUUUGACUUUUAAUGGCUUAUGUUUUAAUAUUAGUUAACAACAAAUGAUAAGAGAAUUUCAUGGUAAAUUAGAAUAUAAUUAUCAUCCAUUUGAUUAGUCUUGAAGAGGAAGGAGAGGAGUUUUAACUUUGGUGGACACCCAUCCUUAUCCUUGUCUUUUAGAGUGUUUGAAGCUAUUGGAGAACUUGGUUUUAAAGAUUUUAUUUGAUAAAUAUUCAAAAUAAUUAAUUUGAUAAUUUCAACUUUUAAAGGAGAGUUUAAAACUUAUCAAAAUAUUAUUUGAUAAACACUUGUAGAGGCGUAUAAAUAGGCAACAGUGUGGUGUAACUUUGUUUGUUGUUUUGGAGUGUCUUAAACUUUUAUUUUUUUGCUAUUCCAUUGGGUAACUUUAUGACACUCUCUUUUUAGGUAUUAUUUGGAGAUGUUUAGUAAUUGUAUUGUGAGGAAUUUGAGUGAGUGAUUGCAUUGAAGAAAUGCGACCUAAAUGUAUAUGUUAAACUCUUAUCUAGGACAUAAAUUCCAUGAACAAGGUACCCAUGUUAAUAACAUGUCACCACUUCGCAUCUUUAUGGUAUUGACCCUAUGUAGUUAGACCCUAUAUGACGUAAACAACACUUAUAGUGUGCACGAUAUCGUAGGCUUGAACGUUGAUUGAAUGCAACCUAUAUUUUGGUGCCUUUGUCGGAAAUGAUGUAUGCAUCGGGUUGCGGUACAAAUGCCUUCUCAGGUUAGUUAAGAAGAAAUCCCAUUCAUCAUUGGAUUCUUCAGGAGUUAUUACAAAAGCUAUUGGCAGGAUUUUUAGGUUACCAUCUUAUGCAACAACUACUAACAACCGAUGGUCGCAUAUUCUAUACAGGAAUGUGCCGUUAAUUUGGAAAAGUGGCUUACAGUACCAAAAUGUAGUUCUGCAUUGCUUAAAAGUCCAAAAGCAACGGUGGAAAACUCCUUUUCCAGGGACCAAGCAAUCGUCAUAAUACGCAGGCUCCAUUUUUAACUUGGUUACAGAACCUAGUAUGUACCACUCUAGUAUCUAACACCAUUGCCACAAUUUAUAGUAGGAUUUCUCCCACCCUCUAUUCAUUUUCUCCAAUGCCUUCUAUUUUUGCAACUAUGUCUUAUGCUAGGACAUGGUGUAAUCGGAUUCUCUACAGAUGUGUGCGAUCAAAAUUGGGACCAGAAUCGUAGGACUUGCUUUUGCCAUGGGUAAUAGAAUUUUAGAUAUCAUGUCUAAAUCUAAUUUUGGAUGAUCAUUCGAUAUGCUUGAAAAACAAGAAAUCAAGUCACUAUGUGUAAUAGAAUGUAAAAAAAGGCUAGGAUUCGAGUCGAUGUUGUUAGCCAUAUUACAUACCAGCUACAACACAUGUAUGUGGCACGAUAAAUUUCCUACGUUUAAAAUGCCAACUUCUUCGUCAUAAAUGCCAUGAUUUUCCAUAGACAUCUUGUUGCACGCAUUGUGCGCAUCGCCUUAUAUUUCUCGGAUUGAGAGCAUGUAAUAGUGAAGUUGACACCAAGUUGUAUGCUAUACUACUUGAUUGUAGCUACAAAAGCAUAUUUGGAGUCAAAUUCCAUCCCAACCUCUAAGUGGUCGAAAUUUGUUGAUGAAGUCGCAUACCUUAGUCUUCUACGGGGGAGGUCUGGGAAUUCUAAAACCACUUUCACUAGUAAGACUGAGAGUACGCAUAUGGGGUGGGGGUUUGUAUUUCGUGAAACUUAGGUCAUCCCCUCGAGCGAUGUCUAAAGCUUGACCAUUAGAUCCAUCGUCUUCUAGUUCAGUAGGAAUGGGAUCUAGUUCUAAAAUUACUACAAUUUCGCACCAUCCAGUCCAACCACCUCUCCUGGGUCAUUAUCUGAUUUAGACCCCUCUUUGACCACUUUGUUCUCUUGUCCCUCUUUGUUAUCAACCCUGGUUGUAAGUCCAGGGUUGGAUGUACCCUCUCUGGUCAAAGUUGUCAAGAGUAGAUCAUUCAUUCUUGUAAAUCCGAUGUCAAUCCCAAAAUCAAUUCUGUUUGGCCUACCCAGUAACUUGAUGGUGUACCAUAUGAGUGUUAUCGAGGUUGAACAUAGGUGUGUCAAAGUUGAAACCAAAGGCACUGAUAGAAUGUUGUGCGGCUGUGUUGUAGGCCUGGUGACCGAAUACGUCUAACUAUCCCCCGAAGUUGAAAUCGAGGGAUGAAAUCGAUGAAUGCCUCACCAUUGAUGAUGUUAAUAAUGUGUCUUUGUAUAAGCUUUGUAGAAAUGAUCUGAAUCCACAACAAAACCGUGUGGCCAGACUUUUUGCUUCUUGAUUUGGCUAGAAAUUUGGCGGACACGGUAUAAUCGAGCUUGGGCCACCUUUUUCCUCUUCAGCAAAGACUGUAUAUUCUCACUAGAGUAAUGAGUUUCGAUCACUGUCUUCAAACCGUUGUCCCCUGUGAUCUGAAAAAUGGAAUAUCUAACGGGGUUAAAUGAUGUUAGAUAUCUACAUUUCAGGCUCAAAAUUCUUCUUCAGAUCCCUACUUUAUGCCUAAACCUUGUUCAAAGCUCUUUUAACGUUAUGCUCUAGUUGAAUGUCAGAUCUUUAGAUUGGGUUGAUACAAAAAUGGGCUCAAUUUCAGCCUCACAAUUUUGACCGUUGUAAUGGACAAUAGCUCUGGCUCGUCUCCUCAUCUUGAACCAAAUAUUCUAUUCCACAUGUUUAAAAUCGAGAAAAUUGUAAAAAUAUAGUUCUCAUCACCCAAAUCCCUAAAUUUACACUUACUUUAAUGAAAUACCUUUGCUUCGACAAUAUUGUCAGUAUAAAAUUUUUGUUUUUUACUACAACAUCGAUAACUCCUAAUGCCAACAAUCUGCUUCAAACAUCUGUAUGGAAAAUCCAAGAAUUAUAUUGAGUUUUUUUAUAGAGCCUUUUCCUCGACGCACAUGAAACGAUUCUAGCAACAACACAUGUCAAGGCAUUAGUUGUUUUUGAGGUAUACACUAAAAAUUAAAAUUUGUGGGGGAGAAAACGUUCCCCGCAACGAUGUUUUUCAGCACCUAGACAUAGCAUUGAAAUUUAUCCUAGGAAUCCCGGGUUGUAGGGGCUUAGAGGUUGAAGCAAUCAAGUUGGCUUGGGUAUUGAAAGACCAUAAAGAAAAUGCCUAUUGCAGGAAGCAUUUCCACCUGACUUGGCAAUCAAAAUGCCUCCUGCAGGACGCGUUUUCCAGCCACAUCUCUGAUAUGUUAGUCGAAAACGCAUCUUGCAAGAGGCGUUUGUACUGCCAUGUUAGGUAAAAACACUUCCUGCAGGGAACAUUUUCUUUAUGGCCAUUUCAACACCCAGGCCAACUUAAUUGCUUCUGCCUCUGAGCCCUUACAACACGGGAUUCUCGGGAUAAAAAAAUUUCCCUUUUUACCCCACCCCAUCCCUUAUAUAAAUGCAUGUUCUCAUCCCCUACUCACCCAUAUCUCAGUCUCCUUUAAAUUAUUUUUUUCUUUUUCUUCCGUGUUGAAAUUUUCAAGUUUAAAGAUUUAUUUCUCUCACACUUUGAGGGGGAUGUAAUCAUAGUUUUAAGUUGUGUUUGAGUUCACAAUAAUGUCGUGGCGCUUGAUAACUUACAAAUUUCACUUGUCGUGUGAGUAUGGAGCCAUCACUUGAGAAAUCGAGAUCGCUUUGCAACUCGAGGUCCAAGUUGACGGUGUAAAUAAGGCUUCAAGUUUACAAAGGUUAUGCUAUUAAAAGGAUGGAGCAAAACCGGGACUGUAGUUGAUGAUGGUGAUGCAAGCACAAGAACUAGUUUUUCCUCAUUGGAAGAGCAUACUUUAUAAAAUCCAUAUACAAGUACGAGGGAGAAAAUCACAGGGGUCUUCCAGUAUAAUCAAGUAAUUCAUUUUAUCCUUUUCCAGCAAAGGCAAUGACCCUGUUACUAAAACCUAUUACAUCCCAAUUCUAUCAUAGGUAAUAGUAACGGUGUCACUGUCUUUGGUGGAGAUGGAUAAAAAAAUUUACUUAAUUAUACUGAGAUACCAUUGCAUUUUUCUUCCUCGUACUUGUGUAUGAGUUUUAUAAAGCAUCAUUUUCUAAUGAAAAAAGUUUUUUGUCGUGCCCGCAUAACCAUUGUAAAUUACAGCUCCAAUCAUACUCCGUCCUUUGAUAGCGUAACAUUUUGUAAACUUGAAGCUCUAGUUACACUUCAAUUUCAGACCGUAUAAUCACCCUUAACUGGGACCAUGAGUUGCAAUGCGAUCUGGCUUCUCGGGUGAUGGCUCCAUACUCACAUGACAAAUGAAAUUUGUAGGUCACCUAACUCCACGACACCACCAUAAAUUCAAACAUUCCUUAAAACUAUAACAGUGUCUAUCUCAAACAAGAAUGAAAAUAAAUGUUCAAACUUCUAAUUUCAAAUUGCAAGAAAAAAAAAAGAAAAAAAUAAAUUUUAGCAAAGUAAAAAUGGGUCCUACCGGCACAUUUUCAUUGCCACAUCAAUGAAAAUACACCUCGUACGACACGUUAUUCUUUCUUCGUAAACAAUGUAAAUCAAUAAAUUUAAAAAAAAAUUAUACAUUCUCAAAUAACUCUUUUUUUCAGCAUUUUUGUUAAAUUUAUCCCAUAAUACUGCUACUUCUUGUUUCCUGGGUUAUUUUUAUUACUGCUGGUUGUACCACCCUCCUACUGUGCGCCGGUUAUAGCAACUCACUCAAGAUUCUAAAUACUAAUAUAAACACCAUUUCUUUUAUUCUUAGUUUUUUUAGUGAUUAACGUGGUUUUAAUUAUCGUUAGAUCACGUGGGUGUUUAUAUGAAAUGCUUGAAAUCGUCACGCAGGACAAAAAAAAAAAAGAAAAAGAAAAGGAAAUGAAGAGUAUAUAUAUAGAGGAAACAACUAGUGAGAGUGAUAUUAAUAUUUAGAGUAGGUAAAGAUAGUAUUAUAUAGUCGCAUAUGCGACCUUGUACAUUACCACUAACUCUAAAACUAGGAUAACUCCAACAAUGAAUAGUACCGCUAUGGAUUUUUAACAUUCAUUUUUAUUCUGUCGACAUCACUAUUUCCCUUCCAUUAGCUGAUCCCAACUUCCAUGACCACACUUCACUUAAUGCUGCAAAUGCAACCACACCAAACAAAACAUUCAUAAAUUAAUAAAUCAAUUGCCAUAAGCGAUAAACUUUGGGUCAUUUUCUUUUUCCGUAAUUUCAAAGAAACCUAGUUUAAAUUAGAUACGAACCUUUUGCAGUCAGUGGAAGGGCUGAUCUUGUAAGGGAUGUUGAUACCGCACUUGCCUGGGAGUCCGGCUGCAGUGCUAUAGUUGAUGCCAGAAAUGCCGGUGGCCGCACUUUUGAUGCAGCUGCAAGCUGCUUGCCGGUCUGGUGUUGUUUUGGCGGCAGAGUUGAGAGAUCUGAUGCCGUUGCAGCAAGCUGGGGGAGCAGAACCAGCACCAUUCCCUUUCAAGUAAGCAAUGCAGGGUGCGAGGGCGCUUGUGAUUUGACCACAACUUAUGGCCCCUUGAGCCAGGGGUGCACCCACCACCAUGCAAAACACCACCACACAUGUAAGCUUAAGGGACAUUGAGCUAGCCAUAUCAAUUAGUCACAAGAAAACAAACUUGUAAGGAAAAUGCUCGCUUGGAGUAG
rnacentral:lncRNA from 1 species